UUUGCUGAUUCCUGCCCAAGAUGGCUGCAGCCCCAACUGAUGUCAUGAGAAGCAGAAGAACUGCCCUGAUGAAUCCAGUCAACCUACAUGUUAAAGAAAAGAAAAACAGGCAGCAAAUGAUUAGGAAGUUCGUGAAGGAAAUGGAAAGUAUUUGCUGUGGACUUGCCUUCAUAAGUACAGACACGCAGUUCAACUGAAGAGGCUGUUCUAAGAAAGAUGACUGAGAUCGGCAAAGGUGUCAAUGAUGACCCCGAAAAUCAGAUUAAGGACGAUGAUGAUGACCAUGAAGAAGAACAGGAGGUCAUAGAUGACUCGAGCAGCAAAGAGGGGCUCCUGGAAAAGAGGCAGCUUGCAGGGACCAACUCUGCAAACACGGCAAGGAAUGACAGAUUGGAAACAUGAGUGAGGAGACUCUGGUUCCUGCGAGCCAUCUCCCCAGCUGACAGGAGCCAGAAAGAAUAAAAUGACGGAAUCCAGUAAAAAAAAAAAGCCUUUCUUUUUCAUUGCUGUUUGCAUCACUAAACCCUGCUAAUUUCACAAGCCCAGAAGUGUCCUUCCCCCUGUUACAUCUAAAAUAGUCCCUAUCCUUUACAGAUUUUAACCUCCAGCCCCAGUUCUGCACAGGCAAUUGACCCGCGAUAAGUUGCUUAAUAAUCUGAGUCAUAAGCAUCUCUGCUCUCAACCGAGGGAAAUGCCACAGCACUCAGGUUCCUUCCUGGGGAUGCUGUAAGCACUUAACCCAGCCGCAUUUUAUUGACAGUUGGUCCUCUGGAUAAAUCACUUCAAACUGGGGACUGCCUAUUCUUCUCAGCUUCUGGAGCAGGAAUUUUCUGCCCACCUUAUUCUUUUCUCCAGCUGCAGUGAGAAUGGUCUUGCUAAAACACAUCAUGUCAUGGUAUCAUUCCCCUUUCAACAACUGUCAUCAUCCUUGGGGUAAACUUUAACCCCCCUAGCCUGACCCUUCAUGAUCUGACCCCUGACAACCUCUCUGGAUUCAGUUCUCGCUACACUUUCUCCUCAUGAUCAAUUUCUCCCCAAAUCCAUUGUAUUCCACCUCUGAGACUUUAGGCAUGCUGUUCCCUCCAACUGGAAUAUGUAUACCUCCUUCUUUGCCCAUGAUGCUACUGUUUGUGUUUAGCUAACACUCCUGGGUGAUACUUUUACUCCUGCAUUAGGUUGGAUGCCUAUUUUUUGUUUGCACUUACCAUCCUCUCUCAUAAUCCCCCUGCCUGCUUGCCUCCUCUCUACUGUAUUAUUAUAUCUUGGAGUAUAACACAGUUGCUGGCAAAGAGUGGGCACUCAGUAAAUACAGGCUGAAUCAACUAAGCAGCUGUUUUCUUCCCAUAUAGCCUUCUUUUCCUGUCAUCUCCUUCCUCUCUCCCAGCCUUUCCUCUUUGCUACUGGCCUUACUUCUGAGCAGUGAAUCUGCUUUCAUCUGCUUCUAGUGUCAUGUGCACCAUCUAAGCCUCUGGGGGAGCCUGGCACUAACACAGGGCUUAAGGCUGUGAGGUCCUACCUUCUUUGGGUGCAGGAGAGGAGCAGUUUUCCCCAGUCUCCACCCUACACACGUCAGAGUACAGGAACUCACUUGCCAAACUCUCGCUGGCUUCUGGGAGAGAGAAGGAAAUUUUAUGAUGAACAAUCUGGCAGCAUAUGGUUAAAAUGUUUGAAGUCCCCAAUUCACGGCUGAUUAAACAAUUCUUUACAUA